GUCCACCCCACGGGAGGGCACAGAGGAAAGGAGGCGGCAUGUCUGAUAUGCCACCAAGCACCUGAGAACACCCGGGGGCUGGCGGAGACCUACAUCACAGGUCUCCAGGUCACUUGAAGGGGUAGCUCAGAGGACCCAUGUGAAAUGGAAAUGGAAAGCAUGGCCAGAUGAAUAUUCUAGAGCCUUGGCUUGAAAGGAAUCACCUCUGCCCUCUUCAAACGGAGCAGCCCUGCAGACGGAACAAUCACCUGCUCGCACAGGUGCACAAAGCACAACCGCAGAGCAGCACGAGUGCUGAGGUCAGCGCUGGAGUUUGUUCCAGAUUGAGGAAAAUAAGGGAAUGAGCAUGGCUCGCACGUGUCAGUUAACGACAAAACAGGGGCAAUGUUUCAGAUCCCAGAGCAAUACUGCACGCAAGUAAUGAGGGCGCUCAGCAGUUCCUGCAGUAUGGGAAGGUACAGGAGGAGCACAACAACCUGAAGAGGCUUUGUGGCUUGUAGUGUAAAUCUAGUUAACAACU